CCGGAGCCUCAUGUAACGCUGCCUGUGGCACCAACGCUGUGGGCACGGGGCAAACGGGUGGAGUUUGAGCCCUUGGCACCAAACAGGCACAAAUAGCAGCUGCAGCAGCAUGUACAUUCACGGAGUACAGUGCAGAGGUUUCUGAUGAGUCAAAUGGAAAGUGGAUUUUGUCUUGAUGUAACUCAGAAAGCAGAUGCAAGAAUGAUACUGACUUGGUAGAAUGAGAAGAUGAGAUUCAAGCUCCUGCCAGUUAUCUCUGCUCAACCCUCAGACAGCCCCAGGGAGUGGAAGCACCAGACGGCACUGAGGAUGGACCUACAGGUGGGGCUAAAACAGGAAGAUGGGACUCCUAGAUCCCUCUUCUAUCCUAUGCGCACUUUCCUGAAAAAUGAAAUUCAGUGAAGGCUUAAAUGUAGAAUGGAGAGAUGGCUAGUAUCCUUGUCCCUCUUGGAUCCCAGAAUGCUAGCAGCCACAUAUAAACAUGUUAGGGAGAUUUUAGAAUCAUUCAUGGGAGAAACCAAAAGAUGUACAGAUACUCAAAUACUGACACUUAGAGAUCCCUCUCUGCUCCCAAAACCUCCAGUGUCCUGCCAGAUCACUUCACAGUGAGAACUUUAAGUCAACAAGUUCCUUCCUUUACACAGAAUAUUGAGUCAGCCUUUGUGCCUCAGUCAUAAAUGUGAAUAUUCAGCUAUAGAUUACCAGACUUUUCAGAAAAACCUCUCUAACAGAGACCAAAAUAAAUAAACAGAAAAAGGACCAGGAACUCAGAGGAAACAAAAUGCAAGCAGGACAAUAAAACAUC